AACGCGAAGAACCUUACCUACCCUUGACAUGGUCGGAAUCCUGCAGAGAUGCGGGAGUGCUCGAAAGAGAACCGGCACACAGGUGCUGCAUGGCUGUCGUCAGCUCGUGUCGUGAGAUGUUGGGUUAAUUCCCGCAACGAGCGCAACCCUUGUCAUUAGUUGCUACGAAAGGGCACUCUAAUGAGACUGCCGGUGACAAACCGGAGGAAGGUAGGGAUGGCGUCAAGUCCUCAUGGCCCUUAUGGGUAGGGCUUCACACGUCAUACAAUGGUCGGUACAGAGGGCUGCCAACCCGCAAGGGGGAGCCAAUCCCUUAAAACCGAUCGUAGUCCGGAUUGAGGUCUGCAACUCGACCUCAUGAAGUCGGAAUCGCUAGUAAUCGCGGAUCAGCAUGUCGCGGUGAAUACGUUCCCGGGUCUUGUACACACCG
rnacentral:rRNA from 1 species